GACGAACGCUGGCGGCGUGCCUAAUACAUGCAAGUCGAGCGAAUCUUGAGGUGCUUGCACCUCUUGGUUAGCGGCGGACGGGUGAGUAACACGUGGGCAACCUGCCUGUAAGACUGGGAUAACUUNGGGAAACCGGAGCUAAUACCGGAUAAUUCUUUUCCUCUCAUGAGGAAAAGCUGAAAGUCGGUUUACGCUGACACUUACAGAUGGGCCCGCGGCGCAUUAGCUAGUUGGUGAGGUAACGGCUCACCAAGGCGACUAUNCGUAGCCGACCUGNNAGGGUGAUCGGCCACAC
rnacentral:rRNA from 1 species